AGCACGGUGCUUGAUAAUCACUCGGAACUUCAGAAUGACAGAGCUCCUUCUUGAUAAGUACUUACAAGAUUGCUGUAGUAGGUGAAGACAAAGGGGUGAAGAGUGUCCACCUGAAAGUGACUUGCAUCACUUCUGUUAAUAUUUCAUUGGAUAAACCAAACUGUUGAGCUGGCAAGACGACAUGGAGCCCACGGUGACCUGAAGCCCAUUUGCCGUAUUUGUCUUGCCAAGAUUUUAAUUCUGUCUGUGUAUGUGAACUCUGUUGACCCUUUCCUCUCUGAAGCACUCAGUGGCUUGGACACAGGGUCCUCAUAGCUUGUUUACACAGAUCUGUCAAAGUUGGCAGAAAACGUCUUCCAAGACUUCAGGAUAGAUGAUGAAGACAUGGGGAGAAAAAGUUAACAAUACUGUGGUGAAAAACUCCUUGAAGUAAGGGCAAUUUUACUUGUAAAGA